rnacentral:tRNA from 1 species
GGGGAUUUGGCUCAGCGGUAGAGCGUUUGCCUAGGAAGCGCAAGGUCCUGGGUUCGGUCCCCAGCCCCG